rnacentral:rRNA from 1 species
CAGUAGCCGCGGUAAUACGAAGGGGGCUAGCGUUGUUCGGAUUUACUGGGCGUAAAGGGCGCGUAGGCGGACUGAUAAGUCAGGGGUGAAAUCCCAAGGCUCAACCUUGGAACUGCCUUUGAUACUGUUUGUCUUGAGUUCGAGAGAGGUAAGUGGAACUGCGAGUGUAGAGGUGAAAUUCGUAGAUAUUCGCAAGAACACCAGUGGCGAAGGCGGCUUACUGGCUCGAAACUGACGCUGAGGCGCGAAAGCGUGGGGAGCAAACAGGAUUAGAUACCCCAGUAGUCCCUGUCUCUUAUAA